CAACCGGCCCUUUUCAGGGCCACUAACAUUUUAACGUUUGUUUUCU
rfam:Octopus bimaculoides Scaffold355765_contig_1, whole genome shotgun sequence.